rfam:Schistosoma haematobium scaffold165_21, whole genome shotgun sequence.
AGCCUUUUAAAUCCGUGCCGUGAGUUCAUUGGACACCAGAUCGUCAGGACUGAUAAGACUCCCAAGAUAAGUAAAGCA